rnacentral:rRNA from 1 species
UACGGGGGGGGCAAGCGUUGUUCGGAAUUACUGGGCGUAAAGGGCUCGUAGGCGGCCAACUAAGUCAGACGUGAAAUCCCUCGGCUUAACCGGGGAACUGCAUCUGAUACUGGAUGGCUUGAGUUCGGGAGAGGGAUGCGGAAUUCCAGGUGUAGCGGUGAAAUGCGUAGAUAUCUGGAGGAACACCGGUGGCGAAGGCGGCAUUCUGGCUCGCAACUGACGCUCAGACACGACAGCAUGGGGAGCGAACGGG